rnacentral:tRNA from 2 species
GGCCGUGUGGCGUAGUGGCAGCGCGUGAGCCUCCUAUAUCUCUAUAGUGUGAGCUUAAGGUCGUCGGUUCGAUCCCGACCUCGGUCG